AUUGAACGCUGGCGGCAUGCCUAACACAUGCAAGUCGAACGGCAGCGCGGGAGCAAUCCUGGCGGCGAGCGGCGAACGGGUGAGUAAUGCUUCGGAAUCUGCCCUUCAGUGGGGAAUAACCAGUCGAAAGACUGGCUAAUACCGCAUACGAACUGAGGUUGAAAGCAGGGGAUCGCAAGACCUUGCGCUGAUGGAUGAGCCGAAGUCGGAUUAGCUUGUUGGUGGGGUAAUGGCCUACCAAGGCGACGAUCCGUAGCUGGUCUGAGAGGACGACCAGCCACACUGGGACUGAGACACGGCCCAGACUCCUACGGGAGGCAGCAGUGGGGAAUAUUGGACAAUGGGGGGCAACCCUGAUCCAGCGACGCCGCGUGCGGGAUGAAGGCCCUUGGGUUGUAAACCGCUGUCAGGGGGGAUGAAAGCGCAAGCUUGACAGAGCCCCAGAGGAAGCACGGGCUAAGUUCGUGCCAGCAGCCGCGGUAA
rnacentral:rRNA from 1 species